AAGAGGCACAUGGAUCAGUGGGCAGUAGA
rnacentral:piRNA from 1 species